rnacentral:rRNA from 1 species
CGUGUAGGCGGUCGGUUAAGUCGGGUGUGAAAGCCCGGGGCUCAGCUCCGGAAGUGCAUCCGAAACUGGCCGGCUGGAGCGCGGUAGAGGAGGGUGGAAUUCCUGGUGUAGCGGUGAAAUGCGUAGAUAUCAGGAGGAACACCGGCGGCGAAGGCGGCCCUCUGGACCGUUGCUGACGCUGAGUACGCGAAAGCGUGGGGAGCAAACAGGAUUAGAUACCCUGGUAGUCCACGCUGUAAACUAUGGGUACUAGGUGUUCGGGGUGUUGACCCCCUGAGUGCCGACGCUAACGCAUUAAGUACCCCGCCUGGGGACUACGGCCGCAAGGUUAAA